rnacentral:rRNA from 1 species
AGUGAACGCUGGCGGUAGGCCUAACACAUGCAAGUCGAACGGCAGCACAGUAAGAGCUUGCUCUUACGGGUGGCGAGUGGCGGACGGGUGGGGAAUACAUCGGAAUCUACUUUUUCGUGGGGGAUAACGUAGGGAAACUUACGCUAAUACCGCAUACGACCUACGGGUGAAAGCAGGGGAGCUUCGGACCUUGCGCGAUUGAAUGAGCCGAUGUCGGAUUAGCUAGUUGGCGGGGUAAAGGCCCACCAAGGCGACGAUCCGUAGCUGGUCUGAGAGGAUGAUCAGCCACACUGGAACUGAGACACGGUCCAGACUCCUACGGGAGGCAGCAGUGGGGAAUAUUGGACAAUGGGCGCAAGCCUGAUCCAGCCAUACCGCGUGAGUGAAGAAGGCCUUCGGGUUGUAAAGCCCUUUUGUUGGGAAAGAAAAGCAGCAGGUUAAUACCCCGCUGUUCUGACGGUACCCAAAGAAUAAGCACCGGCUAACUUCGUG